rnacentral:tRNA from 1 species
AAUGAAAUGGCUGAGUUAUUUAAGCGAUAAAUUGUAAAUUUAUUUACGGGAGGUUCUCUUUUAUUA